rnacentral:rRNA from 1 species
AAUCAUGGCUCAGGAUAAACGCUGGCGGCGCACAUAAGACAUGCAAGUCGAACGGAAGUCGUUGUAAUGAAAUGGAAAUGGACAGAGAACUUGUUCGAAGAAAAUUGAAGUAGACUUACAACAAUGGCUUUAGUGGCGGACUGGUGAGUAACGCGUAAGGAACCUGCCUUUUAGAGGGGAAUAACAAUGAGAAAUCAUUGCUAAUACCGCAUAUGCCGAGAGAAUCACAUGGUACAAUCGGGAAAGG